UAGAAAACUGCUCCUUUGUGAGUGAGUUUAGAUAAGCAUGAAGAAACACUUUUCGUAGAGAGAUUCUUCAUGCUUUUAUUAUAUCA
rnacentral:antisense_RNA from 19 species